AGAUACCCUACUAUAAUUAAAGUGAAUUCGGCCAGAGUAUUAAUAGUUAUUUUCUUUAAAUUCAAAGAAUUUGGCGGUGUUUUAGUCCUCUUAGAKGAACCUGUUUCGUAAACGAUAGGCCGCGAAAAUCUUACCUGUGUUGUGUUUGUAUACCGUCAUUAUCAGAUAACUUUGACAGAAUGAGUUGUUGUAAAGNKAAAAUAAUUAAGUAAAUUAGAUCAAGGUGCAGGUUAUACAUAGGAAGAAAAUGGGGUUACAANUAAGAAUAGUUUAUAUGGAUUUGUUUAUGAAAAAUAAGCAAUGAAGGUGGAUUUAA
rnacentral:rRNA from 1 species